ensembl:antisense Gm12946 predicted gene 12946
GGAUCACAUCUGAUCCAGAGGUGGACACAGAGAUGUUAGCUCGGCGAUGCAGACUGCGUCGUGGAAGCCCAUGUCAAACCCCACAGGAUAGCCAUGCGGAUGUCACAGAGAACAGGGUUUCUCUGUAUAGCCCUGGCUGUCCUGGAACUUAUGCCACACUAAAAUGCUGAGGCAGCAUUAUAUGCAAAUAGGUAAGUACGCAUGGGCCAACGCAUGCUUACAAAGCAGACUAAACACAAAAAUACCCAGGUCUGAGCCAGCUUGGUCCUUUCUCCAUCUCCUCUUGACCCCUACUUGAACCCAGGCGGGCUUGGAGGAGUCGGGGUCUGCAGCUUGAACAGGGAAGGGGUUAAUGGCCUCCAGGCUUCAGGCAGCGCCUACAGCUAUGCCUGCAAUUUCCUCUGGCCAUUCUUUCCCUCCUCCUUCCCAAGAUUCCCGCCAAGAAGGCCUCCCCCUCACCCCAGCUCCAGCGUAGGGAGGGGAAGGGGGUUGGCCAGGAGAGUAAGCAGAAAGAAGAGG